CAGGCUGUAACUUAAUUAACCAUGGGACUGUGUCGUUGCGUGGUGAAGCUUGUCCCCAGCUCCCUCCACUUCUUCUCCAUCACUUCCUCUUGUCCCCAGCUCCAUCCACUUCUUCUCCAUCACUUCCUCUUGUCCCCAGCUCCCUCCACUUCUUCUCCAUCACUUCCUCUUGUCCCCAGCUCCAUCCACUUCUUCUCCAUCACUUCCUCUUGUCCCCAGCUCCCUCCACUUCUUCUCCAUCACUUCCUCUUGUCCCCAGCUCCAUCUCUCACACCCUUCAGCUUCCCCACCCCAACGCCUACAGUGCCUUCAGAAAGUAUUCAAACCCCUUGACCUUUCCACAUUGUCACGUUACACACUUAUUCUAAAAUGGAUUCAAUAGUUUACCCCCCUCAUCAAUCUACACACAAUACCCCAUAAUGAAAAAGCAAAAACAAUUUAUUUUUGAUUUUUGAUCAUUUAAAAAAAAUUACAUCUGAAAUAUCACAUUUACAUAAGUAUUCAGACCCUUUACUCAGUAUUUUGUUGAAGCACUUUUGGCAGCGACUACAGCAUCGAGUCUUCAAAUACACCUGUAUUUGGGGAGUUUCUCCCAUUCUUCUCUGCAGAUCCUCUCAAGCUCUGUCAUGUUGGAUGGGGAGCGUCGCUGCACAGCUAUUUUCAGGUCUCUCCAGAGAUGUUUGAUCGGUCCAGGCUUUGGCUGGGCCACUCAAGGAUAUUCAGAGACUUGUCCCGAAGCCACUCCUGCGUACGUCUUGGCUGUGUGCUUAAGGUUAUUGUCCCGUAGAAAGGUAAACCUUCGCCCCAGUCGGAGGUCCUGACCGCCUUGGAGCAGGUUUUCAUCAAGGAUCUCUCUGAACUUUGCUCAGUUAUUAUUAGCCUCAAUCCUAACUAGUCUCCCAGUCCCUGCCCCUGAAAACCAUCCCCACAGCAUGAUGCUGCCACCACCAUGGUUCACUGUAGGGAUGGUGCCAGGUUUCCUCUAGACGUGACGCUUGACAUUCAGGAAAAAAAGUCUAACCUUGGUUUCAGCAGAACAGAUAAUCUUGUUUCUCAUGGUCUGAGAGUCUUUAGGUGCCUUUUGACUAACUCCAAGCAGGCUGUCAUGUGCCUUUUACUGAGGAGUGGCUUCUGUCUGGCCACUCUACGAUAAAGGCCUGAUUGGUGGAGUGCUGCUGCAGAGAUGGUUGUCUUUCUGGAAGGUUCUCCCAUCUCCACAGAGGAACUCUAGAGCUCUGUCAUAGUGACCAUUGGGGUCUUGGUCACCUAGGUGUCCAAGGCCCUUCUCCCAUGAUUGCUCAGUUUGCCCAGGCGGCCAGCUCUAGGAAGAGUCUUGGUGGUUCCAAACUUCUUACAUUUAAGAAAGAUGGAGCCCACUGUUUUCUUGGGGAACUUCAAAGCUGUGGACAUUUUUUGGUACCCUUCCUCAGAUCUGUGCCUCGACACAAUCCUGUCUCGGAGCUCUACGGCCAAUUCCUUCGACCUCAUGGCUUGGUUUAUGCUCUGACAUGCACUGUCAAAUGUGGGACCUUAUAUAGAAAGGUGUGUGCCUUUCCAAAUCAUGUCCAAUCAAUUGAAUUUACCACCAGUGGACUCCAAUAAAGUUGGAGUCCACUUGAAGCAUAUCAAGGAUGAUCAGUGGAAACAGGAUGCCCCUGAGCUCAAUUUCGAGUCUCAUAGCAAGGUGUCCGAAUACUUAUGUAAAUAAGGUAUUUCUGUUUAUGUUUUUUUUUUUAUAC
ensembl:lncRNA